rnacentral:rRNA from 1 species
GACGAACGCUGGCGGCGUGCUUACCACAUGCAAGUCGAACGGGAGGAAAAGAGAAGCUGGCUUCUUUUUGAAUCUAGGGGCAAACGGGUGAGUAACACGUAAACAACCUGCCUUCAGGAGGGGGACAACAAACGGAAACGACUGCUAAUACCGAAGGUGUUCCGGAAACCGCAUGAUUUCCGGAAAAAAGGAGGGCCUCUAUUUAUAAGCUAUCGCCUGAAGAGGGGUUGGCGUCUGAUUAGGCAGUUGGGGAGGUAACGGCCCACCAAACCUACAAUCAGUAGCCGGUCUGAGAGGAUGAACGGCCACACUGGAACUGAAACACGGCCCAAACUCCUACGGGAGGCAGCAGGGGGGAAUCUUCCGCAAGGGACAAAAGUCUGACGGAGCACCGCCGCGGGAGUGAUGACGGCCUUCGGGUUGUAAAGCUCUGUGAUCGGGGACAAAGGGCUGGUAUGCUAAUACCAUAUCAAAGUGACGGUACCCGAAUAGCAAGCCACGGCUAACUACGUG